CCUACGGGUGGCAGCAGUGAGGAAUAUUCGUCAAUGGCCGGAAGGCUGAACCAGCCAUGCCGCGUGAAGGUCAGUGCCCUAUGGGCGUUAAACUUCUUUUGUGCGGGAGCAAUAAUGGUCACGUGUGGCCAGACGAGAGUACCGUACGAAUAAGCAUCAGCUAACUCCGUGCCAGCAGCUGCGGUAAUACGGGGGAUGCAAGCGUUAUCCGGAUUUAUUGGGUUUAAAGGGUGCGUAGGCUGUGAGGUAAGUCAGCGGUGAAAUGCCCCGGCUCAACGGGGUGAAGUGCCAUUGAUACUGGCUUGCUGGAAUGCGGAUGCCGUGGGAGGAAGGUGAGGUGUAGCGGUGAAAUGCAUAGAUAUCACACAGAACACCGAUUGCGAAGGCAUCUCACGAAUCCGCGAUUGACGCUGAUGGACGAAAGCGUGGGUAGCAAACAGGAUUAGAUACCCCAGUAGUC
rnacentral:rRNA from 1 species